rnacentral:tRNA from 1 species
GAGAUUGUAGUUUAAAUGGUAAAAUAUCACCUUGUCACGGUGAUUGUUACGAGUUCAAAUCUCGUCUGUCUCG